CACGUAGGGUGCGAGCGUUGUCCGGAAUUAUUGGGCGUAAAGAGCUCGUAGGCGGUGUGUCGCGUCGGCCGUGAAAACCUGCAGCUUAACUGUGGGCGUGCGGGCGAUACGGGCAGACUGGAGUACUGCAGGGGAGACUGGAAUUCCUGGUGUAGCGGUGGAAUGCGCCAGAUAUCCAGGAGGAACACCGGUGGCGAAGGCGGGUCUCUGGGCAGUAACUGACGCUGAGGAGCGAAAGCCGUGGGGAGCGAACAGG
rnacentral:rRNA from 1 species